CUAUGAGUUUAUAUUGAUGUUUUAUUAUGUUUUUGGUGAUUUAGUGGUUUUUUUUUUCAAAUUAUGAUUUUAUAUUACAUAUAAAGUAUACACACAGGUUAUUGGAUACAAAAAGACAGACACUUCAUACUUCAUCAAGCUUCAUGUAUAUGGAGGUGUAAAAGGGUGGGUACGAGAAAAGUUAUUCAUUUGGAGAUAGACAUUUAUUUGGCCUAUUGGCAAUAUAGAUGCAGAGGAAAUAUUUGAGGAGGUAUUGUUUGACAGGAUUGGGCAGCAAACUUUAAGGGCUCGGAUGUUUUCAACCCGCGCAAAAGAUUUAAAUUGAUUGCGUUUAUCUAUACUAUCGUAUAAAGCAUUUCACAAGGGUUCCAACCAAAUUUAAAUAAUUGCAACAUAUUAUGCUUAUAGUACAACAACUCAAUGAAGUUAGUAAAGGGAAUUAGUCUUUCUACA